rnacentral:misc_RNA from 1 species
ACACUCUCUCCCACCCGAUUCCAGCAACGCCAUCAUUACCACCGGCCACCCUGCCUACCCUAGUCCGUUGGGGGAUCUUGGCGUGAGUCAGAAGAGGUCCGGUCGNCUGAUACCACUAUUGUCAUGGGGUUACUACCCUAUCCCCAAAAGAUGCACCUGAGGGGGUGUGCAGCACACCUGCUCAUAAGGAGCCCAGGACCCCGUUCCUUUCCGAUGUGGGACA